AUACGUAGGGUGCAAGCGUUAAUCGGAAUUACUGGGCGUAAAGCGUGCGCAGGCGGUUUUGUAAGACAGAGGUGAAAUCCCCGGGCUCAACCUGGGAACUGCCUUUGUGACUGCAAGGCUAGAGUACGGCAGAGGGGGAUGGAAUUCCGCGUGUAGCAGUGAAAUGCGAAGAUAUGCGGAGGAACACCGAUGGCGAAGGCAAACCCCUGGGCCUGUACUGACGCUCAUGCACGAAAGCGUGGGGAGCAAACAGGAUUAGAUACCCUGGUAGUCCACGCCCUAAACGAUGUCAACUGGUUGUUGGGUCUUCAUUGACUCAGUAACGAAGCUAACGUGUGAAGUUGACCGCCUGGGGAGUACGGCCGCAAGGUUGAAACUCAAAUGAAUUGGCGGGG
rnacentral:rRNA from 1 species